CAUGUUUAGAGGACAUUUAAGCUGUGUGCUGGUUGAGACCCACCUUCGUGAGGCUCAGGCUCAGCUGCUCUUCCCCAGCGUUCUUCAGGCCCCUUUCCCACUGGUCGGAGGCCUAUUCAGAAUCUGGCUCAGGAGCAUUUGGGAGAAGCUGUGA
rnacentral:lncRNA from 1 species